CUAUGUCUGUAUUGCCUUCAGAGCUGGAUGGCUGGAGAGUGGCAGCUGCUGGGUGCGUGCCCAGCUUCGAAGGUAGCACCAUUGCCAGCAGCAAGGAAAGCCUGUCACUGAGCUCCUGUGGGAAUCGCUGCAAAAUCCUCUCAGUCCGUCCAUUCCCUGACCAAAGUACUUCCAAAACAUUCUGGGAAGACCUUCCAGAUAGCCACGUGAUUGUGCAGAAGCAGCAAAGUGCCCACUCUGAUGCAGGCUGGGGGAGAUGAUCGUCCCGUGGUGGCAUUUGGUUCCAGAAGUUAUAUUUUCAGCUUUCUAUUAUGUGGUUAAAGCUCAUGAUGGGAACCUGAGCUUUCUGUCCUCCUAGACACUGUUUCCCAUAGGCUUUGUGGAAUAUGAGGACUUCUGUCCAUUGGAAAACAAGGUCAUUUUCUCAUCAUGAGUCACAGCUGUGACUGUCAUUUUACUACAGCGAAAUGUGUCAGCAAAACCAAGAAUAGUCGUUGUCUGUCGGACUUGCACCUAAAAUGCUAAUGAGGAAGAUGCCGAACGCCGGAAGAAAAAUGAACGGUAGCAAAAUCAGAAAGCACAGUGAAUGAUACCUUUAAAAUAGUACACUUAUUUCCCCCCAUUUUCCCCCCAUUGCCUUUUGUUAAAGGGGCCCAAUUUUGAAGACCCUGGGGCCAAACCCUGGUCUAGAUCAGCAUCGUUUUCCACUGAAGUCACUGGGGUAGAUCCUGAGCGGGGGUAAAUUGUCAUAGCUCUCCCAACAGAGGAUCUGCCCCUGAGAUUUCAACCGGGCUCCUGGGAGCGAGGACAGUUUACUACAGCUGAAGAUGAUAAAUGCCUCAGCAAUUUCAAUAGAGCUACACCAACUAAGCGUUUGUUCCUUAAGGCAGGAUUCACAAAGGUAUGUUGGCCCCUGACUCCCAUUCACUUCAAUCCCACCCUUGAUUUUUGGCAAAACUGCCACUGAAGAAGCCUCUCUGAGUUCUUCCAACAUGAAGCUUUCAGGAUUGCACUCAAACUUAUAUUAAAAACCUUCUGCAAGCAAUAAAUUGUGAAUAAACUGGACAUCACAACAUUUCUCAGAAAAAUGCCCAGGUUUCUUGGUAAAUCCUGGGAUGUUUCAACUACAUGGAUUCAAGCAGAUGGGUCCAGGAUCAUUUGGAGUUGAAUGGGCUGGAUAGAAUUAGGUUAAGCAUAAACAGUUGGGUGUGUCUACCAUGCUGAACCACCGGAUUCUGGGAGGUUUUGAAAGGUCAUACAGGUUCACUAUCAGACAGUAAAGGGAGUGCUAGAUGAACCAUUUCCACUAGUCCACAGUCACACUGGCUUUAAAAUACUUCAGACCAAAA